rnacentral:misc_RNA from 1 species
GAGACAGCAGGAGGCGUUGUCAAGGGUGCGGCGGAGCAGGCGGCGGGCUUGUUGACGGGCGACAAGCGGGAGCAGGAGGAGGGGAAGGAGCGGAGAGAAGGAGCGGGACUUCGCAAGAACGAGGACGGUCAGGCCUGAGUUGCGGCGGCGAGAUACCCUUCUCGAAAGGCGGCCCUUCCUCAACCGCAACUAGGCCGGCAGCAAGCGGUUCACAGACCCAGACGUGCUCGCCAAGGCAAGGAGGAUGCGGCCGGUGCAGAUGAAGCGACGCUACAACAGGCAAAC